rnacentral:tRNA from 1 species
GACCGCGCAGCUCAGUUGGAAGAGCAUUGGGCUAGUAUUCCAAAGGUCGUAGGUUCGAAUCCCACCGUGGCCG